AAAUCUUUGUUCCCUGUUGAACCUUGUAUUUUUUGUUGUACCUGUCUUGUGCUUGAUGUUCGUCCACAGGUUACUAAAUUGGAUCCAAAGUCUCUCAAAUGUGUCUUCCUUGGGUACUCCCGGCUCCAAAAAGGGUACCGUUGUUUCUCUCCUACUCUUAAUCGUUAUCUUGUUUCUGCAGAUGUCACAUUUUUUGAGUCCACUCCAUUUUUUCCUCAAUCAUCUGUGUAUGAGAGUCAGGGGGAGGAGGAUGAUCUCUUAAUAUAUACUGUCCAACCAAUGUCUAGUCCUCUCCCACAGCCUGUUCCUUCUGUCUCUAGACCUACUCGACCUCCCGUUGUUCAUGUUUAUUCCAGGAGAUUGGAGAUUCCUGACUCAGAUCCUCCACCAGCUACUUCGUUGGGAGAUCCUGUACCUCAUACUGAUCAUGAUUCUGAUCUAGACUUACCCAUUGCUCUUCGUAAAGGUAAACGUUCAUGUACUUACCCUAUCUCUUCUUUUGUUUCUUAUAAUCAAUUGUCUUCUUGUUCUCGGUGUUUUGUUACUUCUUUAGACUCUGUUCCUAUCCCUAAUACUGUUGGUGAGGCACUGUCUCAUCCUGGCUGGUGUGCUGCUAUGAAAGAGGAAAUGGAGGCUUUAGAUGCUAAUGGUACAUGGGAACUGUUGCCUUUGCCCACUGGUAAGAAAGCUAUUGGUUGCAAAUGGGUAUUUACAGUAAAGGUAAAUCCUGAUGGUUCUAUAGCUAGGUUAAAAGCACGCCAUGUAGCAAAAGGAUAUGCUCAUACAUAUGGGGUUGAUUAUUCUGACACUUUUUCUCCUGUAGCUAAACUUACUUCUGUUCGCUUGUUUAUCUCUUUAGCAGCUACAUAUGAUUGGCCCCUGCACCAAUUGGAUAUCAAGAAUGCUUUCCUUCAUGGUGAUCUUCAGGAGGAGGUGUAUAUGGAGCAACCACCUGGGUUUGUUGCUCAGGGGGAGUUGGGUAAAGUUUGUAGGCUUCGGAAGUCUCUUUAUGGCUUGAAACAAAGUCCUAGGGCAUGGUUUGGGAGAUUCAGUGAAGCAGUACAGGAAUUUGGUAUGCAAAAGAGUAAGUGUGAUCACUCAGUAUUUUAUAGGCAAUCUGAGGCUAGUCUAAUUCUCCUGGUAAUAUAUGUGGAUGCCAUUGUCAUCACUGGGAGUGACUCUGCAGGUAUUUCAUCUCUUAAAACCUUCCUCCAAACCCAGUUUCAGACCAAAGACUUGGGAUUGUUAAAGUAUUUCUUGGGUAUUGAAGUUAUGAGAAGUAAGAAGGGUAUUUUCUUGUCUCAAAGAAAAUAUGUCCUCGAUCUAUUGACAGAGACAGGAAAAUUAGGUGCUAAGCCUUGUAGUGCACCAAUGACUCCAAAUUUACAACUGUUAGCAGGGGAUAGUGAGUUGUUUGAAGAUCCAGAGAGAUACAGGAGAUUGGUAGGAAAAUUGAACUACCUUACAGUCACUCGUCCUGACAUUGCUUAUGCCGUUAGUGUGGUAAGUCAGUUUAUGUCUUCCCCAACUGUUGCUCAUUGGGAAGCCUUGGGACAAAUCUUGUGUUAUCUGAAGGGCGCUCCAGGAAGAGGUUUGUUAUAUGGUAAUCAUGGGCAUUUGAAUGUUGAAUGUUUUUCAGAUGCCGACUGGGCUGGAUCUAAGGUUGACAGGAGGUCAACUACUGGAUAUUGCGUUUUUGUUGGAGGAAAUUUGGUGUCUUGGAGAAGCAAGAAGCAGAGUGUAGUUUCUCGAUCUAGUGCUGAAUCCGAAUACAGAGCCAUGGCACAAUCAGUAUGUGAGGUAAUGUGGAUACUUCAAUUACUAGAUGAGACAGGUUUUAAGACCUCCCUGCCUGCGAAAUUGUGGUGUGAUAAUCAAGCUGCUCUCCAUAUUGCUUCUAAUCCGGUGUUUCAUGAGCGGACCAAACAUAUUGAGAUUGAUUGUCACUUUGUUCGUGAAAAGAUUCAACAACAGAUCAUCUCAACAGGACACAUCAAAACUGGAGAGCAGUUAGGAGAUAUUUUCACAAAAGCUCUGAAUGGAGCUAGGAUUGACUACAUUUGUAACAAGUUGGGCAUGAUUAACAUCUAUGCUCCAACUUGAGGGGGAGUGUUAUGGAAAGUCAAUCACUAUAUUAUUUCUCUGUAUAUUCUGUAUUCUGUAUUCCUAUUUAGGAUUUCUUAUUUAGGAUUUCUUCCUAAUUAGUAGAACACAAUUAUAGGAAUCAAUUGUAUAUAUAUACCCAUGUACAGAUUAAUUGAAAUUAAGGAGAAUCAUCUCUUUCUACAUGGUAUCAGAGCAGGUCAUCUAUCUAGGGUGACUAUUUGUUCUCACCACCCAGCUCAGGAGAGACCUUGGCCGCCGACCGGCCGUUUCGACUCCGAUCAACAUCGCCGGCGUCGCCUCAACCCCCUCAUUCCACCACUGUGUGCUGUUGCCUGAUCCAGUACACCAUUAAAGGACUUCUGAGGUUUGGCUCUCAGAUCCUAUUUCGGUAUUUGCUUGAUUUGUGAUUUUGGGUUAUUUUGCUGCUAUAAGCACUUUGGAUUAGCGUUUCGGUUAGUUUUCUUUGUCUCAACAAAUGGCAGACAAUAAGAAUGUUAUUUCUGAUGUGAUUCCGGUGAUGACUAAGAUCACGGAACACAAACUUAAUGGUUCGAAUUACCUGGAGUGGAGUAAGACUGUUAGGGUCUAUUUGCGUAGCAUUGAUAAGGAUGAUCACCUUACUAAAGAUCCACCUACUGAUGAUACACAACAAACUUGGCUAAGGGAGGAUGCUCGGUUGUUUUUGCAGCUUCGGAACUCGAUUCACAGUGAGGUAAUUAGUUUAAUUAAUCACUGUGAAUUUGUUAAGGAAUUGAUGGAUUACUUAGAUUUUCUGUAUUCUGGUAAAGGGAAUAUCUCCCGUAUUUAUGAUGUUUGUAAGGCAUUCUACCGUGCUGAGAAAGAGGAUAAGUCUCUCACGGCUUAUUUUAUGGAUUUUAAACGGGUAUAUGAGGAACUUAAUGUAUUGUUGCCUUUUAGUCCUGAUGUGAAAGUUCAGCAGGCCCAACGGGAGCAACUGGCUGUUAUGAGUUUUCUUGCAGGCCUUCCUUCAGAGUAUGAGACUGCUAAAUCUCAGAUUCUCUCCAGUUCUGAGAUUUCCUCUUUGCAUGAAACGUUCACAUGGGUCCUUCAUACAGAGAGUACCC
rnacentral:misc_RNA from 1 species